GGACAAACAAUGAUUAAAUCUUUAGGCUCCUCCUCUUCCUGUGUCUCCUCUAUCCCCAGUUUUUUGUUUGUCCUGCUCGGAGGUGGACACUCCCAACAAUCCUCUUCCAACAAGAACAUUAAGGAUUUACCUGGAGUGCUCUGUCUAAGGUGAGCCCCUUACUAAGGUUAUGUGCUCCUUUAGUAUAAAUGCAUGAGCCCCGGUUCUCUUACUGAGCCCCUUCCUUAUGGUUUGGUGUUGCUCCGCUUAUUCAGCGUGAUUCCCGGGUUAUGGUGAGCCCCCCCCCCCUCACUCGGCGGGCAGUGUGUGCUCCCUAACCCCUGUAAUACAAGGGAAACUCUGGAUGACCGGCGGGACCCUUCCCCCUGGCAUCCUACGUGCCUCAGAGCCUUCAAGAGCUCCCCAUGUGUGCACCAUUGGUUCCAUCUCCUCUGCGCCUCUGCCUAAUCGUGCACGCUGUUCUAUAACAGCCUCCAGGCGCGGGGGAUGAAAAUUCUGCAGGCGCGUCGCCUUCCUAGGCGCUGUGGAUGACGUCAGUAGAGGCGUUCCUUGUCUUCGCGCAUUUUUUCCCUGACUAAGGCGCUCUUUGAUGACGUCACGGUUCCAGCUUCGCGCCUUUUCUCUGUGCUAAACAGAGGACAUCACGGAGCAGAGACAUAAGAACAGAUAAGUUCCUGUUUUUUUUUCCUGUUUCCUCAGUCUGAUCAUUGCACACUGGGUUUUCCACAGUUAUGGCACAUUCAAAGGAGCUAGCAGAUCUCAUUGCAGAUCUUUCUGAGCCAAUAGUCAUCCCCAGGAAAUCUUCCAGAGUCACUAAAAAGAAAGCAAAAAAAGCUCCUCUUUUACCUUCACCAUCUCCACCUAGGCUAACAAGGAUGGUUAAAUCUCACCAAAUUUCUGACUCAGACCCAGAUGUACAGCAACCCAAAUCUAUUACUACAGCUUUGGGGCAUGCAGCUCAGGACACUUCAGAUUUUGAGAAUAACCCACAAUUUUCUCCUGGUCCUGUUAGCUCUGCAAAUGCUUCACCACAGCAGCAGCCAGAUCAUAAUAUACCUUCUAUUUCUGCCAAUACAUCUACUGUAACUGACAAUCAGUUCUCUCAUUUUUUGGGGUGGCUACAGACCCAGAUUAACUCAUCUGUACAGCAAGCUGUGUCUGUUCAAUCUUUCUCUAAGCCUAGACCUAAGCCUAAAUUUCCAAAACGUUUUCACGAUAGUUCCUCUUCCUCUCUAUCUGACGAAGAGUCCUAUAACAGCUAUUCCUCUGACUCUGAUAAUUCAGAUUCUGACGAACCUGCCUCCCAUAAACAACCAGAGGACAUUAAACUCCUACUUAAACACCUUCGUGAUACCCUAGAGAUCACUGAAACACAACCACAACUGUCAAAGGCUGACAAGGUACUUGGCAAUACACCUAAAAAGUCUAGAUCCUUUCCUACUAGCAAAUCCAUUUCUCAGAUGAUAUCUAAGGAAUGGUCUGAUCCAGACAAGAGAAAUAACAUUCCACAAAAGUUUUAUGCCAAAUUCCCCAUAACAGAGGAACACAAGCAAUGCUGGGACAAAUCACCUAAAGUUGAUCCAGCCAUUGUACGUUUAUCAAAAAACACUACUCUUCCCGCAGAAGAUGCGGGUUCAUUCAGGGAUCCCAUGGAUAAAAAGAUGGAAUCUGCCCUAAAAAGGGAUUUUCUCCACUCCGCAGCUAUUAUUCAACCAGCCUCGGCUGCUUUUAGCGUAGCUCGCACCGCCAAAUUUUGGUGCCAAGAAUUAAAACACCCCUCACCUCACACAGAUUCCGAUGCCAUCCUAGACAAGCUCACACUAGCGUUGUCCUUCCUCAGUGACGCUUCACUAGAAAUAUCUAAGUUGGCUGCCAAAUCUUCAGCAGCAGCCAUAGCCGCAAGAAGAGCACUCUGGCUCCGACAGUGGUCAGGAGAUGCGGCCUCCAAGAACAGGUUAGUCUCCUUAAAAUUCGAAGGUCAACAACUUUUUGGUCCUGAACUGAAAAAAAUCAUUUCAGAAGUCACAGGAGGUAAAGGUGUCUUCCUUCCUCAAGGCAAAAGACCACAGAGAGACUCCCAUAAACGCAACUACCAUCGGCGUUCUUGGGGUUCCUUCAACAGACAAUCCAGUAGAGGCAGACCCCCUACACAACAGGCCUCCAACAAGAGGUUCAAGUCCUGGCAAAACCAUUCCAAGGCACCCAGGAAAGGUGGCCCAUCAAAGACUCAGGAUUCCUGACUCUCUGCCUCCUCCUCAAAACAAUACACUAGGAGGCAGACUAAAGGAAUUUUCCAAGAUUUGGCAGACAUCCAUACCGGAUUCUUGGAUUCUAAGAACUGUCUCUCUAGGUCACAAGAUAUUUUUCAACACCUUUCCACAUCACCGUUUUGUUCCUUCCAAACUGCCUUCAAACCCCGUCAAAGCUUUAGCAAUGUCCAACAUUGUUCAAGAUAUGCUUCAAAAAAAGGUCAUUGCUCCAGUUCCAGUGAAAGAACACUUUCAUGGUUUCUACUCAAACCUUUUUCUAGUACCAAAAAAAGACGGUGGUUUUCGUCCCAUCCUCAACCUUCACUCCCUCAACAAGUUUGUACGUUAUCAACGCUUCAAGAUGGAGACAAUUCGCUCCAUAACAGCAUCCAUUCCAUCAGCGGCCUUCAUGACCAAAGUAGACUUGAAGGACGCUUACUUACACAUUCCCAUUUUCCAGGAACAUUACAAAUACCUACGCUUCUAUAUAAAUCAGCAGCAUUACCAGUUUCAGGCCAUGCCCUUUGGACUCACUUCGGCCCCACGGAUAUUCACAAAGGUCCUCGGGGCCCUGAUAGCCACAAUUCGUCACCAGGGCAUUCAUAUCUUUCCAUACCUGGACGAUAUCCUUAUUUUCGCAGACUCCGCACAGAAGGCAACAGAAGCAACUCAGCUCUGCAUUCAACAGCUGACAAGACACGGUUGGAUAAUCAACUAUCAAAAAAGUAUCCUUUGCCCCAGUCAAAAUCUUCCCUUCUUGGGCAUGAUAGUAGACUCCAAACUACAACGUCUUUUUCUACCAGCAGAAAAGAUCACAAAGAUUCAAUUCCUUAUUUCAACACUGGCAGGCGAAGUAACAACCACUUUCAACGCCCUACAACUAUUGGGUCUAAUGGCAUCUACCAUAGAUGCAGUUCCCUUCGCAAAGUUUCACAUGAGGCCUCUACAAAGAGAAUUCCUACGUCAGUGGAACGGAGAUCAUCAAGAUCUUUCCCAACAAAUUCUGCUUCCCCAGACUGUACAAAUCAGUUUACGUUGGUGGUCUCUCCAUCACAACCUAGCCAAGGGCAAACCCUGGCACUUGCCCCCACCCCUGGUUAUUACCACGGACGCGAGUCUCAGAGGAUGGGGAGCAACCUACCAACACCAAAGUUGCCAAGGGCUUUGGAACCAACAAGAGCAAAAGCUUCACAUCAACAUUUUAGAGAUGCGGGCUGUGUUCAAUGCACUCCUUCACUGGACCCCACUCUGUCAGUCGGCCCAUGUGCGGAUCCAGUCGGACAACUGCACAACAGUUGCCUACCUCAACAAACAGGGUGGCACGAGAAGUGCAGCAGCAAUGGCGGAAAUAGCAAAGAUCAUACAUUGGGCCGAGUCCAACUCAGUUCAUCUCACAGCCAUCUACAUUCCAGGCCUGCUAAAUUGGCAGGCAGACUAUCUCAGCCGCAACACUCUAGACCCAGGGGAGUGGAAACUGAAAACUUCCAUAUUUCAAAUGCUGACAGUCAGGUGGGGAACACCGUGUGUAGACGUGAUGGCGUCCAGACACAACAAUCAACUGUCAAGGUUUUUCUCCAAGAUCAAGGAUCCAAUGGCAGAGGCUGUAGACUCGCUGGCUACUCCCUGGUCAUUCAGGAUGGCCUACGCCUUCCCGCCAAUACCUAUGUUGCAGAGGAUACUCACCAAAAUUCGGCAAGAACGAGUACCCACGAUCCUGGUAGCACCAGCAUGGCCUGCACGGACAUGGUUCGCGGACAUAAUGUCCAUGCUAGGGGAUCAACCUUUCAAGUUACCAGCACUACCGGAUUUGCUAACACAGGGUCCAUCCUGGUACCCAGACGUGCACAAGCUUCAUUUGACGGCAUUUCUUUUGAAUCCCGUGUCUGGGAACGCAAGGGAUUUUCAGCCCCAGUCAUAGCUACACUACUAGCGGCUAGACGUUCCUCUACAGCUAAGGCUUAUCAUAGAGUUUGGCGGACCUUUCUUUCCUGGUGCGAAUCUCAUAGCAUACUAUGGGAUAGUUGUCACUCUCCACAAAUCUUACAAUUCCUGCAAGCAGGCUUCGACAUGAACCUUAGCAUAAACUCUCUUAAAGUUCAAGCUUCCGCUUUAGCAGCCCUUCUUCACAUUCAGUGGGCUGUUCUCCCAGAAGUAAAAUUAUUUUUUCAAGGCCUAUAUAGAAUUAGGCCUCCGUCCCGGAGACCAGUCCCUCAGUGGGAUCUCAACCUGGUAUUAACAGCUCUUCAAGGACCUCCCUUUGAACCAAUAGAGUCCAUUGACUUAAAAUAUCUCACUCUCAAAGUGGUUUUUCUUCUAGCCAUAGCCUCAGCUAGGAGGGUUUCCGAGUUGGCUGCCCUCUCAUGCAUACAUCCAUGGUUAAAAAUUCACGCUGACAAAGCGGUACUUCGUACCAAUCCAACCUUUCUUCCAAAGAUGGUGUCAGAAUUCCACGUCAAUCAGGACAUUGUAAUUCCGGUCCUUCGUCCUCUAGGUUCAGAGGAUCACACGCUAGACGUUUCGGUUCUUGAUCCUGUUAGAGCCUUAAAGACUUAUGUCUCUAAGACCAAGUCCCUCAGACAGUCAGAUGCCCUUUUUGUCCUUUUUGGGGGUAACAGAGAGGGAUUUCCAGCUUCAAAACGUUCCAUUGCCCGAUGGCUGGUCACUACCAUUUCGGAGGCUUACACCAAAGCUGGUCUAAGUCCUCCGACGCUACUUACAGCCCAUUCUACAAGGAAAGUUAGCACUUCUUGGGCUUUUCAACUAGAUGCUUCUCUAGAAGCAAUUUGCAAGGCGGCCACUUGGUCUUCUCCGCAUACCUUUUCCAAGUUUUACAAGUUUGACAUUUUUAAUUCAAGCCAAUCAGAUUUUGGAAGGAAGGUGCUACAAGCAGCAGUAGCACAUAGUUAGCUUCCUUAUUCCUUUUUUUUCUUUUCUCUUUCCAUUUUGACCAGUUAAUAGUUCACCCUACCCUUUUUAGGACGACUUUGGGACAUCCCCAUACGUCCUGCACUGACAGGUAGGGCCGUACGCAUAAAAGUAGAUUUUCUUACCUGAUAAAUCUCUUUUGCGUAGGCCCGUACUGUCAGUGCAGCAUCCCGCCCUUGUAUUUUUGGUGGGGUGCCGGUUGCUGCCGUGCCUGAGUUAGAUAGGGAGUUAGUUUCUCUCUAUGUUGUGUGUGUGUGUGUCUCCAUUCACAGACUUUACAAUAAACUGGGGAUAGAGGAGACACAGGAAGAGGAGGAGCCUAAAGAUUUAAUCAUUGUUUGUCCUGCCUCCAGAGAGGAGAACUUAACCCCCAUACGUCCUGCACUGACAGUACGGGCCUACGCAAAAGAGAUUUAUCAGGGAGGAAUGCAGAGAACAAGUGGAUCGCUAUCCCUAUGCAAGCUUUAGGAAAUUUCCAACAUACAGACAAGCGAGGGACUUUUCAGAGAGCCACGAGAGAUAUUCUCCUUAUUCCUCAGCAGGACGUUCAGCUGAGGU